rnacentral:rRNA from 1 species
AAUUAAUUCAACAUCGAGGUCGCAAACCUAAUUAUUAAUAAGAACUUACCAAUUAAAUUACGCUGUUAACCCUAGAGUAACUAUAUUAAUAUUAUGAUAUUAUAGUCAAAAAUUCUUCUCUUCAAAAAUUGCCCCAAUUAAAAGUUUAUAAACUUAAAGCUUCUAGGGUCUUCUCGUCCCAAGAGUUUAUAAAAACAUUUUUAAUUUUAAUUUAAAUUCAAAAUCAUAAAAUAAAACAUCCCUUUUAGUAUCAACCAUUCAUUCCAGUUUCCAAUUAAAAAA